CCUACGGGGGGCUGCAGUGGGGAAUAUUGGACAAUGGGGGGAACCCUGAUCCAGCCAUGCCGCGUGUGUGAAGUAGGCCCUCGGGUUGUAAAGCACUUUCAGUGAGGAAGAACGCCUGGUGGUUAAUACCCAUCAGGAAAGACAUCACUCACAGAAGAAGCACCGGCUAACUCCGUGCCAGCAGCCGCGGUAAUACGGAGGGUGCGAGCGUUAAUCGGAAUUACUGGGCGUAAAGCGCGCGUAGGUGGCUUGAUAAGCCGGUUGUGAAAGCCCCGGGCUCAACCUGGGAACGGCAUCCGGAACUGUCAAGCUAGAGUGCAGGAGAGGAAGGUAGAAUUCCCGGUGUAGCGGUGAAAUGCGUAGAGAUCGGGAGGAAUACCAGUGGCGAAGGCGGCCUUCUGGACUGACACUGACACUGAGGUGCGAAAGCGUGGGUAGCAAACAGGAUUAGAUACCCCUGUAGUC
rnacentral:rRNA from 1 species